AUUGAACGCUGGCGGCAGGCUUAACACAUGCAAGUCGAGCGAGCGGCGGACGGGUGAGUACUGUAUGGGGAUCUGCCCGAUAGUGGGGGAUAACUACUGGAAACGGUGGCUAAUACCGCAUACUAUCGGAUGAACCCAUAUGGGAUUAGCUAGUAGGUGGGGUAAAGGCUCACCUAGGCGACGAUCCCUAGCUGGUCUGAGAGGAUGAACAGCCAAACUGGAACUGAGACACGGCCCAGACUCCUACGGGAGGCAGCAGUGGGGAAGAUUGCACAAUGGGCGCAAGCCUGAUGCAGCCAUGCCGCGUGUGUGAAGAAGGCCUUAGGGUUGUAAAGUACUUUCAGAGGGGAGGCGUUACCCGCAGAAGAAGCACCGGCUAACUCCGUGCCAGCAGCCGCGGUAAUAC
rnacentral:rRNA from 1 species